rnacentral:rRNA from 1 species
UACGUAGGGUCCGAGCGUUGUCCGGAAUUAUUGGGCGUAAAGGGCUCGUAGGCGGUUCGUCGCGUCGGCUGUGAAAACCUGAGGCUCAACCUCAGGCCUGCAGUCGAUACGGGCGGACUUGAGUACUGCAGGGGAGACUGGAAUUCCUGGUGUAGCGGUGAAAUGCGCAGAUAUCAGGAGGAACACCGGUGGCGAAGGCGGGUCUCUGGGCAGUAACUGACGCUGGAGGAGCGAAAGCGUGGGGAGCGAACAGG